UAACAUGAAGGAAUAAGUUAAUUAUUUUAUCAAAAAUUAUAAUUUUUUUUUAAAGGAAACUAUUUAUCAUUGUUGUAUAUAGGAAUUUGUCAAAGAAAGAAACAGAUGAACUGAUUUUUCUGGGGAAUAUUGUAGAUAAAUGCUAGUCAAUGUCAAUCGAUUUGUUGGAGGCUCCCAUCUCAAAUUAUGUGGAGGUCUCGGUAAUUGGCUUUCAUUUUUUGGAUGGGGUCAGAAUAUAUUCAAAGCAAGGCAUUAGAAGAGCAAGUGGCUCAAAUCAUGAAGCAAUGGCAUGAAGAACUGAGGGAAAGAAGAAACGAAGAAAAUCUUUACAUUCUGUAGACACUGUCUGCCAAAUGGAGCUUCAUCUAGGAGAUAGAUGCAUAUCAAGCAGUCACGAUGACUCCUAUUAAUUGGACAUGAUAAUGUAUAAUUCAGAAGGGCAAAAAUUGAGGAAAAGUUUUCUGCUGUGUAUAUAUUACAAGAUACUCAAUCCAAUAAUGACUGUAAGCG
rnacentral:misc_RNA from 1 species